GCCCUCUUAGCUCAGUGGUAGAGCGCAUCACUCGUAUUAAUAAAGUGCUCCCCGAUCUAGAAUGAUGAGGUCGGUUGUUCAAUCCAGCCAGGGGGCA